AUACGUAGGGAGCGAGCGUUGUCCGGAAUUACUGGGCGUAAAGGGCGCGUAGGCGGCGCUUCAAGUCGUCUGUCAAAUGGGAGGGCUUGACCCUUUUUCGCAGACGAAACUGGAGAGCUUGAGAAGCAGAGAGGCAAACAGAAUUCCUGGUGUAGCGGUGAAAUGCGUAGAUAUCAGGAAGAAUACCAGUGGCGAAGGCGGUUUGCUGGCUGCAUACUGACGCUGAAGCGCGAAAGCCAGGGGAGCAAACGGGAUUAGAUACCCCGGUAGUCCUGGCAGUAAACGAUGUAUGCUGGGUGUGAGACUAGCGAUAGUUUCGUGCCGAAGUUAACGCGAUAAGCAUACCGCCUGGGGAGUACGGUCGCAAGAUUGAAACUUAAAGGAAUUGACGGGG
rnacentral:rRNA from 1 species